UUGUCAUCUUGCAUCUUGUACACAGCUCUCUGAAGGUUGAAGGGCCUUUGCUAACAUUUUUCCGAAGGUACUUUGGGCCUCGAGGACUUGGCCUUGCUUCUCAACACCCACGUGGGGGGUGGGCUCACGAGCAUCCUGGACUCUUCAGUUCCAGAGGAGCAGACACCCUGGCUUGACUUCUGAGGGCAUCAGACCUGCACCUGGUGCGAAGACAUUCGUGCAGGUGGAAACACUCAUGCACAUAAAACAAAGGGAAAUAUAAAAAGUUGAAGACA